rnacentral:rRNA from 1 species
GACGAACGCUGGCGGCGUGCUUAACACAUGCAAGUCGAACGGAAAGGCCCUGCUUUUGUGGGGUGCUCGAGUGGCGAACGGGUGAGUAACACGUGAGUAACCUGCCCUUGACUUUGGGAUAACUUCAGGAAACUGGGGCUAAUACCGGAUAGGAGCUCCUGCUGCUUGGUGGGGGUUGGAAAGUUUCGGCGGUUGGGGAUGGACUCGCGGCUUAUCAGCUUGUUGGUGGGGUAGUGGCUUACCAAGGCUUUGACGGGUAGCCGGCCUGAGAGGGUGACCGGCCACAUUGGGACUGAGAUGCGGCCCAGACUCCUACGGGAGGCAGAAGUGGGGAAUAUUGCACAAUGGGCGGAAGCCUGAUGCAGCAACGCCGCGUGCGGGAUGACGGCCUUCGGGUUGUAAACCGCUUUCGCCUGUGACGAAGCGUGAGUGACGGUAAUGGGUAAAGAAGCACCGGCUAACUACGUG